rnacentral:tRNA from 1 species
UCCCUGGUGGCUCAGAUGGUAAAGCGUCUGCCUACAAUGCAGGAGACCGGGGUUCAAUCCCUGGGUUGGGAA